rnacentral:rRNA from 1 species
UACAGAGGGUGCGAGCGUUGUCCGGAAUCACUGGGCGUAAAGAGCGUGUAGGCGGCUUGGCAAGUUCUGACGUGAAAUCCCCGGGCUCAACCUGGGAACUGCAUCUGUGACUGUAUAGCUAGAGUACGGUAGAGGGGGAUGGGAAUUCCGCGUGUAGCAGUGAAAUGCGUAGAUAUGCGGAGGAACACCGAUGGCGAAGGCAAUCCCCUGGACCUGUACUGACGCUCAUGCACGAAAGCGUGGGGAGCAAACAGG